rnacentral:rRNA from 1 species
CCUACGGGAGGCAGCAGUGGGGAAUUUUGGACAAUGGGGGCAACCCUGAUCCAGCCAUUCCGCGUGAGUGAAGAAGGCCUUCGGGUUGUAAAGCUCUUUCGCAAGGGAAGAAAACUUAUGAUCGAAUAAAUCAUGAGGUUGACGGUACCUUGAUAAGAAGCACCGGCUAACUACGUGCCAGCAGCCGCGGUAAUACGUAGGGUGCGAGCGUUAAUCGGAAUUACUGGGCGUAAAGCGUGCGCAGGCGGUUUUGUAAGUCGGAUGUGAAAUCCCCGGGCUCAACCUGGGAACUGCGUUCGAAACUGCAAGGCUAGAGUGUGUCAGAGGGGGGUAGAGUUCCACGUGUAGCAGUGAAAUGCGUAGAGAUGUGGAGGAAUACCAAUGGCGAAGGCAGCCCCCUGGGAUAACACUGACGCUCGUGCACGAAAGCGUGGGGAGCAAACAGGAUUAGAUACCCUGGUAGUCCACGCCCUAAACGAUGUCAACUAGUUGUUGGUAGAGUAAAAUCUAUGAGUAACGUAGCUAACGCGUGAAGUUGACCGCCUGGGGAGUACGGUCGCAAGAUUAAAACUCAAAGGAAUUGACGG